rnacentral:sRNA from 1 species
AACUUAUGUGACUUAUAACUAUGAGCCAGUCCUCAUUGUUAUACGUUUCUUGAAAUUCUCGGAGUUCAAUGGUAAGUUUGUUAGAGUUUUCCAUUCGUGAACAAUGUUUGAAUGCAAUUAAACUGC